rnacentral:rRNA from 1 species
CCUACGGGUGGCUGCAGUGAGGAAUAUUGGUCAAUGGGCGCGAGCCUGAACCAGCCAAGUCGCGUGAGGGAAGACGGUCCUAUGGAUUGUAAACCUCUUUUGUCGGGGAGCAAAAGACGCCACGCGUGGCGUUCCGAGAGUACCCGAAGAAAAAGCAUCGGCAAACUCCGUGCCAGCAGCCGCGGUAAUACGGAGGAUGCGGGCGUUAUCCGGAUUUGUUGGGUUUAAAGGGUGCGCGGGUGGAAGAUCAAGUCAGCGGUAAAAGUGAGAGGGUCAACCUCUUCGAGCCGUUGAAACUGGUUGUCUAGAGUGAGCGAGAAGGAUGCGGAAUGCGUGGUGUAGCGGUGAAAUGCAUAGAUAUCACGCAGAACUCCGAUUGCGAAGGCAGCAUACCGGCGCUCAACUGACGCUCAUGCACGAAAGUGUGGGUAUCGAACAGGAUUAGAUACCCCAGUAGUC